CCUACGGGUGGCAGCAGUGGGGAAUAUUGGGCAAUGGGCGCAAGCCUGACCCAGCAACGCCGCGUGAAGGAAGAAGGCUUUCGGGUUGUAAACUUCUUUUAAGAGGGAAGAGCAGAAGACGGUACCUCUUGAAUAAGCCACGGCUAACUACGUGCCAGCAGCCGCGGUAAUACGUAGGUGGCAAGCGUUGUCCGGAUUUACUGGGUGUAAAGGGCGUGUAGCCGGGCUGACAAGUCAGAUGUGAAAUCCCGGGGCUCAACCACGGAACUGCAUUUGAAACUGUCGGUCUUGAGUAUCGGAGAGGCAGGCGGAAUUCCUGGUGUAGCGGUGAAAUGCGUAGAGAUUAGGAGGAACACCAGUGGCGAAGGCGGCCUGCUGGACGACAACUGACGGUGAGGCGCCAAAGCGCGGGUAUCGAACAGGAUUAGAUACCCUUGUAGUC
rnacentral:rRNA from 1 species